rnacentral:misc_RNA from 1 species
GGCCGAUAUCAAACAAGGCCUUCUCUAACCGGAAUAGAUAGUCUCUAUUGUUCCCACAUGGACCAGAUGCAGUUGCAAUUUGGCUAGCCAUUUGCUCCAAUGGAGCAGGUCCUAGAUAGUAUUUGUUUAGCACUUUAUCAAAUGUAGAUGUGAAAACUACUACUCCUGUCAAUGUGGGUUCCAAGGAGUCUUCAUCCUCGUAGAAGUUCAUAAUAGUCUUUUGAUCAUACUCGCACUCUCUCCUCUCCAAAU